UGGUCGCAGGUUGUACCUAGUUACCCAUGCGGUAAAAAAAUACUGAUGUCAUCACCCCAGUUUUUAUUUAAAAAGUUAUAAUAUAAUCAUAAUUAUAUUAUUAAAUAUAUCUUAAUACCAAUAUAAUUUCUUAAAAUAAGUUUAUAAUGUGAUUAUAACUAUACUGUAGAAAAUAUUCUAAUGUUAUUAUACAAGUGUAUCUAGGCCUUUUAAUAGAUUACACAUCCCGUGAUCAUGUCAUCGGCAUAUGCGGACAGAUUAUAAACAAGAAAAUUCAUGUGCGUUGGAUAGCAGAAAUUGCUUCUUGUUGAAGUUUGUGGAACAAAAUUUUCAAAAUGUCCCACAACACACAUCUUAAGAUCCAUUCUACAACUAUUAAGAAUCAAGAACACCUGAGGGCUAUGAAAAGAAAGGAAUACAAAAUCAAUACUGGAGCAUUGGUUGGAGCUGUUGAAUGAACAAGAUUUUAUCAUAUUACCAUCUUUAAGUGUAAUUAGGUUUGUUAAAGACAGUUCGUAAUUAGUAGUGCAUACCUGGGCGAUCUGAUGCAAUGAACGCUUGUGACCAAGGACUUGUAUAGUAAUUACCCUGUAAUAAAUUUUUAGUGAUAUAUUUAUUCUAUAUAAGAUGGUGACAACUAGUUAGCUUAUUGAAAUAUUAACUGCAUUCAAAGGAAAACAUAAAAAUGGAUUUUGAUAACGUCGAAAGAAAUGGUUUUAUUAUUUUUUGAUGAUUGUCAGUUCCAAAUUAAGUGGGUUAGCACU